rnacentral:rRNA from 1 species
CCUACGGGAGGCAGCAGUAGGGAAUUUUCGUCAAUGGGGGGAACCCUGAACGAGCAAUGCCGCGUGAGUGAAGACGGUUUUCGGACUGUAAAGCUCUGUUGUAAGAGAAAAACGGCCGACAUAGGGAAUGAUGUCGGAGUGAUGGUAUCUUACCAGAAAGUCACGGCUAACUACGUGCCAGCAGCCGCGGUAAUACGUAGGUGGCGAGCGUUAUCCGGAAUGAUUGGGCGUAAAGGGUGCGUAGGCGGUACGGUAAGUCUGUAGUAAAAGGCGGCAGCUCAACUGUCGUAGGCUAUGGAAACUGUCGAACUAGAGUGCAGAAGAGGGCGAUGGAACUCCAUGUGUAGCGGUAAAAUGCGUAGAUAUAUGGAAGAACACCAGUGGCGAAGGCGGUCGCCUGGUCUGUAACUGACGCUGAAGCACGAAAGCGUGGGGAGCAAAUAGGAUUAGAUACCCUAGUAGUC